rnacentral:rRNA from 1 species
CAGCCGCCACGGUAAUACGUAGGGUGCAAGCGUUAAUCGGAAUUACUGGGCGUAAAGCGUGCGCAGGCGGUUUGUUAAGACAGAUGUGAAAUCCCCGGGCUUAACCUGGGAACUGCAUUUGUGACUGGCAAGCUAGAGUCUGGCAGAGGGGGGUGGAAUUCCGCGUGUAGCAGUUAAAUGCGUUGAGAUCGGAAAGAACACCAACGGCGAAAGCACUCUGCUGGGCCGACACUGACACUGAGAGACGAAAGCUAGGGGAGCAAAUGGGAUUAGAGACCCCGGUAGUCCCUGUCUCUUAUAC